rnacentral:tRNA from 1 species
UUAAAAGCCGAGUACUCUACCGUUGAGUUAGCAACCCCCGACUAGUUCCGGGUUCGAAUCCCGGGCAACCCA